UACGAAGGGGGCUAGCGUUGCUCGGAAUGACUGGGCGUAAAGGGCGCGUAGGCGGUUCACGCAGUCAGAUGUGAAAUUCCUGGGCUCAACCCUGGACAGGCGGUGGAAACUACCAAGCUGGAGUACGGUAGGGGCAGGAGGGAAUUUCCGGUGGAGCGGUGAAAUGCGUAGAGAUCGGAAAGAACACCAACGGCGAAAGCACUCUGCUGGGCCGACACUGACACUGAGAGACGAAAGCUAGGGGAGCGAAUGGG
rnacentral:rRNA from 1 species